rnacentral:rRNA from 1 species
GACGAACGCUGGCGGCGUGCUUAACACAUGCAAGUCGAACGGAAAGGCCCUGCUUUUGUGGGGUGCUCGAGUGGCGAACGGGUGAGUAACACGUGAGUGACCUUCCCGUGACGUUGGGAUAACUUCAGGAAACGGGGGCUAAUACCGGAUAGGAGCUCCUGCUGCAUGGUGGGGGUUGGAAAGUUUCGGCGGUUGGGGAUGGACUCGCGGCUUAUCAGCUUGUUGGUGGGGUAGUGGCUUACCAAGGCUUUGACGGGUAGCCGGCCUGAGAGGGUGACCGGACCCAUUGGGACUGAGAUACGGCACAGCCUCCUACGGGAGGCAGCAGUGGGGAAUAUUGCACAAUGGGCGGAAGCAUGAUGAAGCAACGCCGCGUGCGGGAUGACGGCCUUCGGGUUGUAAACCGCUUUCGCAUGUGCAGAAGAGUGAGUGACGGUACUGGGUAAAGAAGCACCGGCUAACUACGUG